rnacentral:rRNA from 1 species
UAGUCCAUGCCGUAAACGGUGGGCGCUAGGUGUGGGUUUCCUUCCACGGGAUCCGUGCCGUAGCUAACGCAUUAAGCGCCCCGCCUGGGGAGUACGGCCGCAAGGCUAAAACUCAAAGGAAUUGACGGGGGCCCGCACAAGCGGCGGAGCAUGUGGAUUAAUUCGAUGCAACGCGAAGAACCUUACCUGGGCUUGACAUGCACUGGAUGCGGCCAGAGAUGGUUGUUCCCUUUGUGGCUGGUGUGC